rnacentral:rRNA from 1 species
GACGAACGCUGGCGGCGUGCUUAACACAUGCAAGUCGAACGGAAAGGCCCUGCUUUUGUGGGGUGCUCGAGUGGCGAACGGGUGAGUAACACGUGAGUAACCUGCCCUUGACUUUGGGAUAACUUCAGGAAACUGGGGCUAAUACCGGAUAGGAGCUCCUGCUGCAUGGUGGGGGUUGGAAAGUUUCGGCGGUUGGGGAUGGACUCGCGGCUUAUCAGCUUGUUGGUGGGGUAGUGGCUUACCAAGGCUUUGACGGGUAGCCGGCCUGAGGGGGUGACCGGCCACAUUGGGACUGAGCUACGGCCCAGACUCCUACGGGAGGCAGCAGUGGGAAAUAUUGCACAAUGGGCGGAAGCCUGACGCAGCAACGCCGCGUGCGGGAUGACGGCCUUCGGGUUGUAAACCGCUUUCGCCUGUGACGAAGCGUGAGUGACGGUAAUGGGUAAAGAAGCACCGGCUAACUACGUG